GAUGAACGCUGGCGGCGUGCUUAACACAUGCAAGUCGAACGAUGAAGCCCAGCUUGCUGGGUGGUUUCGUGGCGAACGGGUGAGUAACACGUGAGUAACCUGCCCUUAACUCUGGGAUAAGCCUGGGAAACUGGGUCUAAUACCGGAUAGGAGCGUCCACCGCAUGGUGGGUGUUGGAAAGAUUUAUCGGUUUUGGAUGGACUCGCGGCCUAUCAGCUUGUUGGUGAGGUAAUGGCUCACCAAGGCGACGACGGGUAGCCGGCCUGAGAGGGUGACCGGCCACACUGGGACUGAGACACGGCCCAGACUCCUACGGGAGGCAGCAGUGGGGAAUAUUGCACAAUGGGCGCAAGCCUGAUGCAGCGACGCCGCGUGAGGGAUGACGGCCUUCGGGUUGUAAACCUCUUUCAGUAGGGAAGAAGCGAAAGUGACGGUACCUGCAGAAGAAGCACCGGCUAACUACGUG
rnacentral:rRNA from 1 species